AGCCUUAUAGCAUAGUAGUUAAGCGCCUAGUUACCCUUCCUUACACUAGGAAAGGCGUGGGUUUAAAUCCUACUAAGGCUA
rnacentral:tRNA from 1 species